rnacentral:rRNA from 1 species
CAGCGCCACAAGUGGCAAUCGCGUUUAUUGGGCCUAAAGCGUCCGUAGCUGGCGCGGCAAAUUCUUUGUGAAAUCGUGGGACUUAAUUCCACGGCGUGCAGAGAACACUACCGUGCUUGGGACCGGGAGGGGUCAGAGGUAUUCCGGGGGGAUUGGUAAAAUGAUAUAAUCCCCGGCAGACCACCGAUGGCGAAGGCAUCUGACCAGAACGGAUCCGACAGUGAGGGACGAAAGCUAGGGGAGCGAACCGGAUUAGAUACCCGAGUAGUCC